ensembl:lncRNA novel transcript, antisense to GALNT12
CAGUAAUGACCAGACACAUCACACCCGCCUUCUAGAAGCCCUCCCUCACAAACCGGAUCAACUGCUAUGAUAAAGGAUGGCAAUGUGCCAACUAGAAAAGCCACACUUGACCGGGCAUGGUGGCUCAAGCCUGUAAUCCCAGCACUUUGGGAGGCCAAGGUGGGCGAAUCACAAGCUCCACCCCACUAAAAGGAAUGUCACUUCUGAGCAACGUGGGUGAGGAAUCAGCAGCCGAAGUAGCAGCAAGCUGGAAAGGAUGGAUGCUUCUGGAAGCCACCUCAGAGACCAACCACAGCGGAUGGGCCCUCCUUAGCACAGAGCUACUUUUAGCCCAUUGUUCUACUGUGGGGAACAGAGGGAAACCCAGGGAACGAAACAAACAGUGUCACCUGCCUUCUGUAGUAAUAGUAACCAGGAUACUGAAAUAACUGUCUUAAGAUUCUCAUGAGCAAUCUGUUCCACUGACCCUUACCUCGUAAAAGAAAGUUCAAGAUGAUUCAGAAAGGAAUCAUGACAUGGCGAUUGAGACAGAACUCUCUAUCCCCUGGGUAUUAAGCACACUGAAGAUGGGUAAGGGCUGGAUGAAGCAAUCGCAGUCAAUUUGGCCACUGCCUGUAGGCCUCUCUGACUGAGCAGCAAGAACCUCAGAGAGGGAAACUGAAGACAUACCUCCCACCCGCAUCCUGUUU